AUUCUGAGCUAUUCCACAGUAAAGAAUUACAAAAUUAAAGAAAGGAAUGCUUUAAAUUUUUGUACUUUGCUGAAAAUUCUUUUUCCCACGGUCUAUAAAACAUUAAUUUGUUUUUAUAUUUUACUAUUUUUUUGUGUUUUUUUUUGUUUUUGUUUUUAAAUCAGUAAGUAAUCUAGGACUAGCAUUAUUUUUGCUAGACCUGGCAUUUGCUCGGUACAUAAGGUCCAAAGUUUCCUUUCCUUUUUUUAUUUAUUUUAUAUUUUGCAAUGUUUUUUUUUUUCCGUAAUAUUGUUUUUCGAUGUUUAGAUAUUUUUCUUUGGUGAAGCACGAGUUUCUUUUCGUGGUCUCUGAUAAUUUUAAACAGUUGGAACACUGGUGGCACUGUUAACUGCUUAAAAGGGCUCCCAGGGCUCUGUGAGGCUGCUACUAGGAUUAGGAAAGACAAAGCUGUUGGAGAAGUUGCCAUUGAGCAUCCUGACUAUCCAAUCAUGCUUCCAAUCUGGACACUUUCGCUGCUGCUGGGAACAGUAGUAGGGAAAGAAAUCUGCUUCCAAAGACUUGGCUGCUUCAGCGAUGAAGCCCCCUGGGCAGGGAUUGUGGAAAGACCCCUCAAAAUAUUGCCCUGGGGCCCCAAAGAGGUCAACACCCGCUUCCUCCUGUACACCAAUGAGAACCCCAACUCCUUUCAGGAAAUCCGUGCAGAGCCAUCAACUAUCGAGGCCUCCAAUUUCAAAACGGAUAGGAAAACCCGUUUCAUUAUUCACGGAUUCAUAGACAAGGGAGAAGAAGGCUGGCUGGCCAAUAUGUGCAAGAACAUGUUUCAGGUGGAAAGCGUGAACUGCAUUUGCGUGGAUUGGAAAAGUGGCUCCAGAACGGGCUACACACAGGCCUCACAGAACAUCCGGAUUGUGGGGGCAGAGGUCGCCUACUUUGUGGAAGUCCUUCAGUCAGCAUUUGGGUACUCGCCUUCCGAUGUCCACAUCAUCGGCCACAGCCUGGGUUCCCACGCGGCCGGCGAGGCGGGAAGGAGGACCAAUGGGACGGUUGGACGCAUCACAGGUUUGGACCCUGCUGAACCUUGCUUUGAGGGGACACCUGAAUUAGUCCGACUGGACCCCAGCGAUGCUCAGUUUGUGGAUGUGAUUCACACAGACGCUGCCCCCAUCAUCCCCAACAUGGGAUUUGGAAUGAGCCAAACUGCGGGACACAUGGAUUUCUUUCCGAAUGGAGGAAAAGACAUGCCCGGAUGUCAGAAGAACAUUCUCUCUCAGAUUGUUGACAUUGAUGGGAUCUGGGAAGGCUCUCGUGACUUUGUUGCCUGUAAUCACCUGAGAAGCUACAAGUAUUACUCCGACAGCAUCCUCCACCCUGAUGGUUUCACUGGCUUCCCCUGUGCCUCUUACAGCUCUUUCACUGCAAACAAGUGCUUCCCCUGUCCAACUGGAGGCUGCCCACAGAUGGGACAUUAUGCUGACAGAUAUGCUGAGAAAACUAAGGGAGUAGGCCAGACAUUUUAUCUAAACACGGGUGACGCCAGCUAUUUCCCCCGUUGGAGGUAUAGGGCAACUGUUAUUCUGUCUGGAAAGAAGGUCAGAGGACACGUGCUAGUUUCUUUGUUUGGCGACAGAGGAAACUCUAAGCAGUACGAAGUUUUCAAGGGCAUUCUCCGACCAUUCAGUAUUCAUACCACUGAAUUUGACUCAGAUGUGGAUGUUGGAGAUUUGAAGAGUGUUAAAUUUAUUUGGUAUAACAAUGUGAUCAACCCAACUCUACCCAAAGUGGGAGCAUCCCGGAUCAUGGUGCAAAGAAAUGAUGGGAAACUGCUUGUGGAAAGAUCGGACCACGAUUAUUAACCUCGUUCUGUGUGUAUGUACAGAUUAAACUAUUAAGUGCACACAGCAUGUUUUAUCAUCACCUGCUGUUUCCUUGAGGCAGCGUCCAGACGAUAAAGCUGGGGUAUAAAAGCCGGCCCGGGCACUGGCUCCAGAGGGAGAGGAAGCCUGGACCGUCUGACAGGAUGGUGAGCAUCUGGGCCAUCGCGCUCUUCCUGCUGGGAGCAGCCCAAGG